rnacentral:lncRNA from 1 species
GGAUGUUGUUGACUGAGCUUGUUGCCGGGAUCGUAUGCAGGGUUGUGUGUGUAUCCACAGCUGGAGUGAGUUCAUGACAGCCAUGUUCUGUCCAGAAGACAGCACUCACAUGACACUUCUCCCCUCCAGUAGUAGCUCUUACACUCUUUCCCCCUCUCUUCUGCAGUGUUCUUGAGCCUUGGGCAUAGGGAGUAUGAUACAGAUGUCCCCUUUAGUGCUCAGUGCUCCUGGUCGCUUAUUCUCAGCAUUCAGACAGUUAGGACUCUCUCCAUUAGCCACUGCCUACGACAGAAAGAAGCUUCCCUGACUAAGCUAAGAGCAGCACAGAUGGACAGAUGGAAACAUUUAGAAGGCAGUUUGGCAACAUGAAAAAUUUAGCAAAAAUAACAAAAGUAGGUUCCCCUGUAGAACCUACAAUCUCUCUACCAUGGCUUUUGACCAGGUUUAUAAUAUCAGACAUCAACUUCCUCCUGUGGAGCAGGCCUCAGAUUCAGUCAGAAAGUGGCUGGUCACCUCCUUGACAAUCAUGCCACUAUUGUACUAGGUUGAUAUUGUAGCAUCCAGGGUCUGGUGCUGGGUGAAAUCCUUUCUUCUCCAGCAGCCUGAAUAGCACUGUCUGGUACUAGAAAGCUAGAAAGUCAAAGAAUAGCAGGCACUCUUUUUUUUUUUUUUUUAAAUAUUUAUUUAUUAUAUGUAAGUACACUGUAGCUGUCCUCAGACACUCCAGAAGAGGGAGUCAGAUCACAUUACGGAUGGUUGUGAGCCACCAUGUGGUUGCUGGGAUUUGAACUCCGGACCUUCGGAAGAGCAGUCGGUUGCUCUUACCCACUGAGCCAUCUCACCAGCCCAUAGCAGGCACUCUUAACUUAGCAUCUCUAGCCCCUUAAAGAUCUUAAAGAAAAAUGUCAGCUGAGAGAUGGCUCAGUGAGUAAAGUGCUUGCCUGGUAAGACUGAGGACCUGAGUGCAAUCCCCAGCACCCAUGUAAAAGCUGACCACGUAUGCCGGUGAUCUCAGCUCUAAGGACAUGGACACAGGAGAAUCUCUGGGGCUUGCUGGCUACAGGUGUAGCUGAAUCGGCAUGUUCCAAUUCAGUGAAAAACCCUGUCUUAAACACACGCACUCACAACUGCUAGGUUGUGAAUGUGUGAGCACCUAUAUGUGCACACACACACAUACACACAUCUUCUCUAAUCUCUGUUUUGUCUGGAGACUGCAGAAGAAUUUACACACCUCCAACCCCUCUCUGCAAGCCACCACAAUGGCAUAAAAGAGAGGAUGUGGCUUUCCAGAUCUGGUUUUGUGUUUGGCACUCAUCCUUCUGUGAGCCACUUACUGAAUUGAAAUAAUACUUGUCAAAAGUUUGGACUGCCCUGGAGAGUUCUGUAUAAUGGAAUUUCCUUCUUUACUCCUGUAGCACUUUGAACUCUUUUUAUAGCAUUUCUCAUGAAGACUAGUUCCUUCCAUAGUUACUUUUGCUGUGUGUGCAAGUGUGUGUGUGUGUGUGUGUGUGUUCAGUUCUUAGCUUGGUGAGAAUAAGAAUUCCUCCAUGGACCUUUACCUAGCCUUACACAUAAUUGGGGAUCAGGUCUUUGUUCUCAGAACUAGUGAGUGAGUCAACACCCCUUUCUUUUACUGCAGGGCCCUCUUUAGAAACACUGUCUUUGGUUUUUGUUUUGUUUUGUUUUUUUUGGUUUUUGUUUUUUUGAGACAGGGUUUCUCUGUAUAGCCCUGGCUGUCCUGGAACUCACUUUGUAGACCAGGCUGUCCUCAAAUUCAGUAAUCCGCCUGCCUCUGCCUCCCAAGUGCUGGGAUUAAAGGCGUGUGCCACCAUCCCCCGGCGAAACACUGUCUUUGAAUUCACUCUUAGUGGAGGCUAGUCAUCGGGCUUCUUCAGUGGGUCAGAUUUUAUGUUAAGGGAAAACCAUAAAUGUUUAUAAGGUAAUUUCUAAACUAAAUAAAAUAAGAGCAGAUAGUAAAAAGCAGUCCUCAUUACCCACCAUCCAGCUUUAAUAAUUAGUAAUAUUUUAGAAUGAGUUAUGAUUGGAGAUGAAAGUGGAGAAAACAUUGGGGUUCUAGGGUGGCCAUUUUGAUUUUCUGGGUGGAGAUGCAGAGCAUCUAAGAUGAGCAGAGUAGACAGAGAGGAGGCUGGUGGCCCACAGAUAGGCCAGCUUGCCUUUAGUGAAAGACUAUCAUACACACUACCUGAGUUGGCAUACACAAGUGCAGAGAACAAAGCCCACCUCGUGGCGAGUGAGACUCAGGUGCCACUGCUGCUGGUGCCGGUGGUCAGCACUGCCCGGCAGCAGACAGAAAGGCAGGUGUGGUAGUCGAGGCACUAAUUAGACUAAAAAUGACCUUAGGUGCCACCUUUCCAAGCUAGAGUUUCUUCACAUGAGAAUGGGGCUAAGAGUAUCUAAGCCAUCUAAGCCAUCAGAACAUCACAAGUAAUAAAUGUAAAUGCAUUCUGAGUUAACAUUAAGGACAAUUUCCCAGGGUGUUCUGAUCUCGAGGGGAUCAGACCCUUGGGACAUCAGGGCUGGGGUGUAUGGUUUUCAAUUUGGAGACCUCAUGAGCUUUCUCAGAGCUCCAUUUGUCAGUCCAGCAAAUAAACUCUAUAACAUAAUAAGUUCUCUUUUUCAUUCGC